UAAUAUGUUCUUUGCUAAAAAUGACUAGAGCACACAGUGGUUGGAUUGUUACCAUAAUGACAGAUGUUUUUAAAAAAGGGUAGAAAUUUGUGGACAUGCAGAAUGUUACUCAGCAAUGACAAGGAAACAGAAGGAGGGGACAUUUUGGUCCCUUGCGCCAGAUGUGCUCUCUGACUUUACACGUGCCAGGAUUUCUCUCUUGUGUUCCUUUCUUUUGCUGUCGAGUUUCCUAUCCCUUAAAUAUCUUUACCAGAAAAUGAGCACACUUUCACACAAGGAAGCAGCUGAAUUGAAGUCGAGUUACUGUGGAAGAGUCACAGUGGAGUCAGCAGGGAAGGCAGCAGUGAUCACUUCCUGUCUUGUCCUGUAGGAAGAAGACACCCAGGAGGGGAGCACUUGAGCUGAAACGACUUGAGGUGCUUCCCGAACCCGUCUAGGGGCUGUAAAGUCUCACUGUGUGAAAUGCCCCUGGUGUUCAGAGUGGGAAAAACUCAGCACAUGGACCAGGAGGGAAGUUAUUCAUUUGCACAUUCAUGUUUCACCCGAUCUCUCAGGAGAGUGAGCGUUCAUCCAGCACUAUGCUGUAGAGGGCUCUGUCCUAGGUGAUGUGGCCUCCAAAGGAGAACUGCAGACAGUCCUGCUUAGCAUCUCACAGCCUUGCAAGGUGAGUGGCCCUUCAACAGAGAGAAGAUGCCAAGGGGCAUAAUGAAUGCAUACAUUAAAUCAUAGAUUCAAAUUAAAUAUUUCCAUCACUUUUUAUUGUAAAACAUAAAAUUUGCCAUCUUAGACACUUUUAAAUGGUGUCAAGUACAUCUACAUGAUGUGCCACUGUCACCACCAUUCACCUCCAGGACUCUUCCGUCUUCGCCAAGAAACUCUGUUCCCACUGAAUGCUGACUGUGCCCUUCCUCCCAGGCCCUGGCCACUGCCCUCUGCUUGGUCUCCAUGAGUUUGGGUCCUCCAGGACCAAAGUGGAAUCAUACAUACAGUAUCUGUCCUCUUACAUCUGGGAAAAAAUAUGCUUUAGAGAAACAGGAAGCCCCCGCCUUGCCUCUGUCCAACUCGCCACCUGGUUUGGCCGGGAAUGCUGGCUGGCUUUUCUUGAGUCCUCAGUUUUGCAAUCCCACUUUUUAGUGUCUGUCUUUGAAGACGUCCACGUGGUAUGAUGUUGGUCAGCUGUCGAGACCACAGACCCAAUGAGGCUGCUGCUCCCCAAAGGCCUUCACGGCCCCUGGAUGGGAGGUGGCCAGAUGAAAGAAACAUCCCAUGGGGACACGGUGCUGGGGUGCGGAAGCCCCACCGGCCUCAGCAGGUUGCUUUUGUGAGCUCAUAGAGAGCCCUGCUGUCCCUGCAGCUCAGAUGCCUGACAGACAUCCUGUCCCAGGAUGUGCCCCCCAGCGGCAUGCUCUGAGCUGGGCCAUCCCAAAUCUCACCUCUGGGACCACUCAGACACUCACCAAGAACCAGUGCCACAGAUGCCUUUAGACUCACCUAAUAGAUUUAAGAUCUGUCCAGAACAUCUUGGCUUGUCUGGGGGGUCCGGGAAAGGCUGGAAGUCAGGAGGAAGGCCAUGCCUGGAUUUCUGGGCAUGUGGCUUUGACGUACAGCAAGUGUGGACUGGGAGUGGGUGUGAGCCUCCCACGCCAUCAGAAUAUAAGUACCUCAGGGCUAAUGUUCACCGCUGUGUCCCAGGCAGAGGGGAGUCUGGAACCGCAUGUAGACAUCUAUAAAUAGUUGGCAGAGUAUCUGGCAUGUCCAUAUCUUUGGAUACAACAAUCAGCCAGGUUGCUUUGUUAGAAACUGGAAAAACGCUACUACCGAUAAAGGUACUCGUGCUCCUUAAUUGAGAAAUAUUCUGUAUGAAUCUACUCCUGUCUUCUUUUUCUGCAAAAACAUUUAAUUUGGUGUUUUAUUUUUGAAAUCAUCUGAGUAACUUCCUUCCUUAGCAAAUUCCCUCUGGUUUUAUGGAUGCAUCUGUGAAGUACUUCCAACUGCAGAAGAGGUGAAUCACUUGGUUCUUCUGGGUGUGUGCAGACACUGGCUCUGUGCCACAGCUGAGGGCUGGUGCUGGCCCUGCAAACGGACGCAAGUGUCAUGAAGCGGCUGUGAGCCAAAGCUGGUGAAUGGCGGGACCAACAUUCUACAUGCCUGGAGCUUGCAGAGUAGCCUGGAUGGAUCGCAUUGCAUUAGAAUGCUUCGGGGUUUUUUGUGGGGCAAGAGAGGAGGGCAGAGUUUGGGAUACCCGUUCAGCACUGUUAGGAGCCAGCCGGAGAUGAAGAUUGAACAGCAGCAGCAGCAGCCAGUAAACAGAAACUGGGCAGAGAUGGGUGAAGAGCAGGAGCAUGUGCCCCACCAGGUGCUGCCUGUCUGCACCUUCAACAGACAACGCGCCUCUCUUAGAUUCACGUUCCCGCCAUAGGAUGGAGACAGCGACGCCCAUCUGCCCUCACAGAGUCCUGAAAAGAGUGGAGGGAAAGGAACUUUUAAACGAGCUGAGUGUCUGCCUUCCUCCUCUGAGUCCAGUCCUUCUGCCGGCUCCUGCCCACACGAGGCAUGGCCUGGAGUUGAGCGGCCCUCCUGGGCCUGUGGCAAGCUGCUCAGGAGAAGAGGCUGGUCUGCACGGAUGGAACCCCAGGGCAUCCUGUUUCGAUGGCCUUAUAAACACCCAGGAAAGUCUGCUGGCUGUUGAAAACUCAGAUUCUAAAUACUGUUUACCCCUGAAUCAUUUGUAAUUCCUUUCCCAGCUCACAUAACUGUAAACUCCUACAAAGUGCUUUAUAAAUACUCAUUAGAGUCUCACAAAAGUCCUUUGAGCUCCACAUGAUUAUCUUCACUUGGCAGGUGAGUAAACUGAGUCACAGGAGUUGAAAGAUCUCCUCAAAGCCAUGCCAAGAGCAGGGGUAGGGCAGGGCCAGAGCUCAGACUUCCUGGCUCCUGGGCUGGUGAGCAGCUCUGCAGAAUGCACUGUGUUAGGCAGGUCCAGACCCCCAAGUGCCCGGGGGGCCCAUGUUACCACUGGCCCCCUCAGUUCACUGGGACUGGCUGAGGUCCUCAGGCUGAGACCUCACUCCAAGGGCAAAGGCUCCACUUUGAAGAGUCAACCAAGAUCCAUGCCCCACAACCACCCAUGGUCUUUCUUCCAGACUACAUGGCUGCAUGGUCCUCUAGCACUGGUUUUAGUGGCCCACAGAGGGACAAGCAAAUAGAGCAGAAAGAUUGGGGGUUUUCAGCUUUCCUGUGUGUUGACCAGCUAAAAACAGCCAAUGGGGCAUGUGUGGCAAGCAUGCACUUGUUUCUGGCCACACGAUCUUUGAGCCCACCUCUUUUAUUUGGGUUCCACACCAGGGAAACAGA